GCCCCAGUAGCUCAGCCCAGAGCGCCGGUUUUGUAACCCGGAGGCCGGGGGUUAGAAUCCCCCCUGGUGCC
rnacentral:tRNA from 1 species